rnacentral:lncRNA from 1 species
AAAUAGAUGAGCAUGACCAAAAAAAACCCAAAAUCCCAAAACCCUGUAUGGUUCAUUGGUUCUUCUACCAUGGGUUUUAAUCUCCAAUUUAUUUAUGAAACCCAUUGCUUCCUAGUGAGCCCAACCGCUGUCCUCUCACCAGAAUCAUCGUCUUAAAUGAAAAGUUAAAAAAAAAAAAAAAAACUAAGAUUNNNNNNNNNNNNNNNNNNNNNNNNNNNNNNNNNNNNNNNNNNNNNNNNNNNNNNNNNNNNNNNNNNNNNNNNNNNNNNNNNNNNNNNNNNNNNNNNNNNNNNNNNNNNNNNNNNNNNNNNNNNNNNNNNNNNNNNNNNNNNNNNNNNNNNNNNNNNNNNNNNNNNNNNNNNNNNNNNNNNNNNNNNNNNNNNNNNNNNNNNNNNNNNNNNNNNNNNNNNNNNNNNNNNNNNNNNNNNNNNNNNNNNNNNNNNNNNNNNNNNNNNNNNNNNNNNNNNNNNNNNNNNNNNNNNNNNNNNNNNNNNNNNNNNNNNNNNNNNNNNNNNNNNNNNNNNNNNNNNNNNNNNNNNNNNNNNNNNNNNNNNNNNNNNNNNNNNNNNNNNNNNNNNNNNNNNNNNNNNNNNNNNNNNNNNNNNNNNNNNNNNNNNNNNNNNNNNNNNNNNNNNNNNNNNNNNNNNNNNNNNNNNNNNNNNNNNNNNNNNNNNNNNNNNNNNNNNNNNNNNNNNNNNNNNNNNNNNNNNNNNNNNNNNNNNNNNNNNNNNNNNNNNNNNNNNNNNNNNNNNNNNNNNNNNNNNNNNNNNNNNNNNNNNNNNNNNNNNNNNNNNNNNNNNNNNNNNNNNNNNNNNNNNNNNNNNNNNNNNNNNNNNNNNNNNNNNNNNNNNNNNNNNNNNNNNNNNNNNNNNNNNNNNNNNNNNNNNNNNNNNNNNNNNNNNNNNNNNNNNNNNNNNNNNNNNNNNNNNNNNNNNNNNNNNNNNNNNNNNNNNNNNNNNNNNNNNNNNNNNNNNNNNNNNNNNNNNNNNNNNNNNNNNNNNNNNNNNNNNNNNNNNNNNNNNNNNNNNNNNNNNNNNNNNNNNNNNNNNNNNNNNNNNNNNNNNNNNNNNNNNNNNNNNNNNNNNNNNNNNNNNNNNNNNNNNNNNNNNACACAUCUUCGUUCCCAUCACAACCCCCAACCUUAGUGAUUUUAGUGGGAUUGAAUGCAAUUUGUUAUUUUUUUAUUUUUUAUUUUUUCUUGAUAUCAAGUCAUCACUUGACAAAGGAAUUGGAUGAAGAUUAGAGGUUUGGACAUGCGCAGUUGAUGAAAAUUGGGAGUUGAGGGGUGUUUUUGAUGAAAUUGAAAGAAGAAUGACUAACAUGAUAAUCGACCUAAGUUGAUAGAGGUAAACUGAAAUUAGUUCUUAAGAAAAUUAGCUAGAUAUAGUACAAAUUGAAAACAUACUUAAAACAAUACUAAACAUCGAUCAUACAAAAAGUAGUUAAAGAAAGGGAAGAACAAAGAGCAACAAAGUGUCUCUAAUUCUCCACUCUCUUCCUCCUCUUUAUUCACUUGAAGCAACAUUUAUUUAUAGGACAACAAUGAUCUUCAUUCCAUCUUCAUCUCCAUGUGAAUGUGAUUUUUCCUUCCGUCCAAAAUCUCAUGCUAGCUUGAUGGAACAUGUUCACUCAUAAAUGAUUUUACACACCACUUUCUUUUCAUCAAUUCCUUUUGUCUUCAACAUCUUUUACUAAUUUCACUUCUUAAGUGUGAAGAGAAACAAGUACGUACAAGAUCUUUGAAGUUUUGAAAGGUGAGCUCCUAGAUUCAUGCAAGCUUGUUCCAUGCAAUCUUGUCUUUGGCAAUUCUUCAUAUAAUUCCCCAUUUGUUUCCAUCAAUUCAUGCACAUUCCUAUAUGAAUCAAGCAACCAAAGUAAAUUCAACAUUUGAUGGCUAAGGUUACAUUUUCCACACAUCACACUUAAUGCAAUGAGAAAGCAAUCCACCAAUGUAUGAUAUGCAUGCUACUAGAACAAGAAGAACAUGUGUUGCAACUAUUCAUCUAAAUUAAGGGAAAAAGACUCAUGUUAAAAAUAAGGACUCAAUUUACUAUUUGAAAAUAGAUAAAUUGCUUCUAUAUAUUUAACAUUUUAUUUAUUUAUGACAACAUCUAUAAGAAUACAAAAACAAACUAAAUAACUCAAACUACUAAAGACAAAUAACUAACACAUAAAUUAGGGAUAAAAAUAUGGUAUAAAAUGUGCCCAUCACUUGUCAAUCGCUUCCUUAACCACAUCAAACAGCAACCCGAAUGCUGCUCUGAGAGCUGCCCCGCUUAGAAACUCCCCUACCAUUACCAGUUUGUUGGCUGCAUGAGAAAAAGAGAAAAGAAGAGUGAAAAACAUACAGGCGCGCGGAGACUACUGAACUUGAAAUGGAGCCAAUAAUUCAAGUGUUAAUUUGGAACAUAGGCCUAUUUCUUAUAAAUUAAAGAAGCAAGAUCAAUUACAGAAACUUAGCUGCUCCAAAGGGUUUGCUUGGGGGAAGUCUCUAUAGAAGAAGAAGAAGAAGAAGAAGAAGAAGAAGAAGAAGAAGAAGAAGAAGAAGAAACUUCUCGAAAGAUACCUUUAGUUAUUUUUCUCACUUUUAUUUCUAUCUCUGAUUUGUUGUGAAUUUGUGAUUAGUCCAAGUCCACGCACUGAUUGAUGAUCAACGUACAUAAAAAAAGGAUAGGAUGGCCGGAGAAAUUUAAAACUAGUGCGUGACAGUUUCCGGGAAGCUUUCAUAGUUUCAUGCACGGUAACAUUUAUUAAGUAACAAAACACCUAUGAUCCUAGAUUCAAAAAAAAAAAAAAACAACCUAUGAUCCUUAACUUCAAAGGUCCUUUAAGUUUGUGAGACUUUUUAAUCGAUCCAACUAUAUAUUAUGCAUCUUAAGAAGAUCAACAAGGAAAGACUAGCUGUAGCUUGGAUAUAUAAAUGGGUACAUAGCCAGCUAAUUCAUGUUACAAGUCUCACAAUAAGCUUGGUGAGUAACAAACAAGCUUGGUGAGAACGUUAACCAAUAAAUUCUGUUACAAAUUAUGUUACUUCUUCAAAAAAAUUACCGACAAUUAUUCACAUAUAUAAACGCCAGUCUUUUGGUCUAAUGUUUCAUAAAAGCUUAUUGUUGAUAUCCAUCGGCAUAAGUUAACGAUGAAAUUUAGUGUUAGCAAUAGGAUGAUUUUAUCGCGCCGUCACCUUCUCUUUUUAUCGCGUAGUGGCAUGCACCGUUAACAAAAGGCAGGUGGGGUGAAGAAAGAGAAACUUUGUUGCUCAACGAUACUUCCGGGAUUUCGAAACCAAAACAAUGAGACUACGUCGUUUCACGUAUGACCACACAUGCUUUUAUAUAUACUUCCCUCCUCAUUUUCGAAACCAAAAGCUAGGAGCUAACUCAAAUUAAUGUUGUUAGCAUUGAUCGAAGCCAUCCCUAAGUAUAAGGGGCAUAAUAGAAUAGUGGGGUUUAGAAUAAAAGUUGUCGAACCCAAGGGAUUAAGAAAUCCCACUUUAGCUAGUGGAGUCUUAAGGUAAGUUAGAUGGAUGUACAAAUAUACAAAUUACUAACAACGACUUAAAGGAGAGCUAACGUCCAUGGUGGGUAUGUAUAAUAUGAAGUGUUGAGAUUAAAUUGUAAUCACUAAAGUAAGAAAUGUAAAAUAAGCUAGACCAAAUGAUUUGUUGUCAAAUGGAUGGGGGUUGGGGCAUCAGGUUUCACCUUUUGCCUCCCUUACAAGCAUUAAAGCAAUCAAAUAAGAACGAUGCGAAACUACUUGUCCAACUACCCUCUUAGCAUUCAGAUCAGACUACUAGGGCUUAAACCCCUCUGAUUUUAUCAACUCUAAACGGAAAAGUCUAGAGUUAACUACAAAGUGACAAAUUCAAUUACCAGAUAGGCCUCAAUCCUUUGUCUCUAAGUGCAUAAAGCUUAGAUUUAGGUAGCCAAUCAAGCAAACAAGCCAAUCAUAUCUCUAAGUGGUUUUAGCUCACCACUCUCACAUGUACACAUGGGAUGCUCUCAUUGCCUAAAGGUAAUCAAUCUCUAGCAAACAUCAAGUUAUGACAAACACAUCAACUCAAAUUAAUUAAGUCCAAGCAAACACAUUCAACUAUUGGCCUAGCAUGUGAAAAUGACAAUAUGGAAUUGCAUCAAUUCAUAGACAAAAGCAUCAAUACAAAGUUUGGUUAGAUAAGCCAUGUUGUACAUACAGUUAGAAUUUUCUGAGAGGUAACUGGGUAAGUCAUACGUACUUCAUAUACAUUCAAACAAAAAUGUUCAAAUGAUCAUAUCCUAAACAAAAGUACUUUCAAUCACAACCUCUCUAUUUAUUUCAUGAUCACACACUAGAAUGCUUAGCUCUCCAAACUCUUGUCCACAUUAUGAACAAUUUCACUUGUGGACCAUUUAGUUUUAGUUUUCCUUCGAUAUGUUCACCAGAUCAAGAUGAUCACCUGUUCAUACCAGGUUUUUUUUUCAUGUUAUUUAAUAACAUUAUUAAUCUUGAUGUUGUGAUCGAUUAUGUGGCGCAAUAUUUAUAGAUUUGAUCUGUUUUGUUUAGCUAGCUCGGCCUCACAGUCCAUUUUCCUUAUUUUGGAAUCGGAGAGCGUAAUUUUUGUUUUGAAAAGUGAUUUGAGGAUUUUUUAGAGAUUUCACCUCUGUGUCUCAGUAGAUUUCACCUCAGUAGGAUAUCAGGACAGUAAAUAGAGUUGGUAAGUUUAUUUGAAAGUUGAAUAUGAUCUUUGUAAUUAUGCGGAAAUCGAAACAUAUGUGAAACUUUUUACUAGAUCUGUAUGAAUAGAAGUUGUGUGGAAUUGUUCGAUUUAUCUAUUCAUCAAUCACAUAUGUAAUUUCCACAUGUACGUGCUUGAUAUCUAGCUGAUGCGAACCCUCAAGACAAGAGCUGGUAAAUUUAUUUGAAAGUUGAAUAUGUUGGACAAUCUAAUAGAUCUCUGAAACUGUUAGAACUUUCAAUAUGAUGUAGUAUUUGGUUUGGAGCUCAUUGAUUACAAAUUUGGUUACAGAUGGCUACAUCUAGAUUGGAGAAAUUAACAGUCCAGUCGUAGAAGUGGUUAUCAAUCAAUAUUUAGCACCAAAUGAUAAUAGAGGACUCAAUUUUUCUUCGGGUAUUCGUUCAGUAUUUAUAUGAAGGUUUUCUUUUGGUUUUGUCUAUGUUUCUUUUGGUUACAGCUGCCCUCCUUCUUCUUGUCACACUUCACAGAACAUGAAAUACUCAGCCGCUAGAUCAUAAUAACUUGCUUAGUUUAUUGAAGUUUUUCUUCUUCUCACUUUUGAUAAUUUGUUUAAUAUCUUUUCCUAUAAUCUAUUAUCAUUUCGAAGGUCGGGAGGAUAUGCAAUCGUAGUCCGUUGCACAAAUAUUUUUGAUGGAUAUAAUUAUGUCAUUAGGAAGACUUUAAUUGGUGAAGAAUACCCUGACUAUUAUAUUUAAUUUCAUAAAGUCUACACGUAGAGGAUGCCAUUUGAUAAGUAAGUUCUAACUUAGUUUUUGGUGCUUCUUAUGAGAUAAAUGAUCGGUACUGUAGUUUAUAAACAAGUUUGCCGAAAAAAAGAAACCUGAACAUGAGAUUUAUUAAUAUUCCUAAAUAUAAGGUAAUUUUUUGUGGUCCAAACGCAAUAGCAAGUAAUAAGAAUUUUAGAUAAAAUAUUAUAGUUCAAAAUGUAGUUUGAAAAAGUGAAUAAAUCGUUGAAAAUUAAUCUUUUUAAAAAGUGAUCGUUACUGGCAGCUUGGACGUUGUGUUAUUAAUUUAGAAAAUUAAUCGUAGUUUGAAUUUUUAAGUAUAAUUUUGUAUACGAGAUGGAGAUCGAUUGUACAUAAUACACUGUUACUAUGAAGAUUAAUCUAGCAUCUAACACACCAUAGAAACCUCGCUUUUGUUGAGAAUCACCUGGUAAUAUUAUGAUGUGAAAGACAUGAAAUUGAUGGCUACAGUGCAUGGCUUUAGUUCUUCGGCAAUGUGUGACCCUAUAAAUUUGAUUUGUGAGAAAUUUGUUAACGAAAUUGUAUACAAAUCCGUGAACCCUUAAAUGCAUCAUGUUAUAUCUUUAAAAAAAAAGACCAACAAAAAACCAACAAAAUUAGGUUGUUUGUCACAUACAUAAACGUGACUCUUUACUCUUUUGGUUGUUUUCUAAAAGCUUACUGUCGACGAGUAAAUUAAGUGACGAAAUUUUUUCAACGUAAGUGUCGCUAUAGUAUAAAUAACCCAGCAUUCUACCCGUGCAAAUUUACACGUUAUCACAAAUUCACCCAAAAUUAAUGAGCGGUUAAUCCACAUUCUAUCCAUUACCCUAAACCCUGAAUUCUAAACUCUAAAGCCUUGGUAUCAGCAUCCUCUGUCCUCCAUUUGUUGUAUGAGAUACUUCAUCUCCUUCUGGCCUCUCUGAAGGUAUAGAGCACCUGAGAGGAGCACAAAGGAUGCUGAUACCAAGGCUGAUAUCUACAACGCAGGGAUUCUUUUGUUCGAAAUGCUUCAGCCUUUUACAAGCAAUUCAGACAGAGCCAGAGUUCUUCAUAACUUGAGGGAGAAAAAAACCUUUCCCAACAAAGCCUGGAACGAUAACCCUGUGAAGAAAUGGGUGCUGCGAAUGAUUGAUGACACACCUUCAGAGAGGCCCUCAGCAGCCUAUCUUCUGCACAACUAUGGUGAGAUUAAAGAUGACAUUCUAUUGUCCGAUGCAAUGUCCAGCAUAUAGAAGUUCUGUCCAUGACAGUCUUCUUUCUCACAAGACUAUUUGAUGUGAAAAGGAGAAUAACAAUGUUAGACAAUAGUAUUUCGGUCAGUACUUCAGAUUUAACUCCUCAGCUUUUGCGCAUUAUGCUUGGAUGCUUGCCAGAACAAGUAUAAAAUGCUUUUGAACAUGUAGAUCUAACUGAUGAGGCAACAUGCUUUUGAAUUAGACAACCUCAUUAUUGUCUCUUCUGGAUCUUAUGGUGUCUAUAUAAUAUUUUUUUUUUCUGUGUGAAAUCAGUAAAAAUGUGAAGGGAAGUGAAUGUUAAAACAAGAAGAUAGGAGGUGUUUACACCCAAAUUAAUAUUUUACUGGACAGUAAUUGUCUAUGUGAAUAUUAGUUAAAUUCAUGAUUCACGUCACACCGACGAGCCCAAAAUAAUUGAGUUUAUAAAUGAUGACCCGUUAGCAAACAAAGUCAUGCGAGCUGAAUAUUCGCACGCGAGGUGAUGACUUUGCGCAGGGGGCUUCGAGUAGGAGACUGCGUGAGGAAACAGAGGAGAAGAGUUCGCAUGGGAGAGGACUAAGGUAUUGGCCGCAUAUGUUGACUGAAUGGAUAGUGGAGCAAGUAUCCUUAAUUGCAUAAAAGGCUAUAUGUGUGUGGCUCGCCAGUAGAAGAGUUUGCAUGUAUUAAGGUUGCUAUUCCUUAAUCACAUGAAUGCAAGUGUAUGUGCUCCCUAUGUGUUUUACAGGCGAAGGAAAAUGCUUGCAUGCGAAGAGCCAGGGACUUCGCAUAGAAGUUGAGUCCUACAUGGAUGGAAAGAGAUGUAAUGCAAGUCAACGUUUGCAUGCGAAAUAGAUAGAGGACCUCGCGAAGUAUAAGGUUGCAUGCGAGAAGGAUUGCAUGCGAAGUAUAAGGUUGCAUGCGAGAUGGAUUGCGUGUGAAGAGAGAGGUUGCAUGUGAGACGGAAGGCGCGCGAGGAAGAAGUUUGCAAAAUGAAUUUGGACGGGAGUGCAAUCAAGUUUGGUAUAGACGUGAAGCAUACUAUCACUCCUAGUUCUAUUUGAUUAAAGAGAUAUACACGCAGACUUCUAGUAUUCAAGGGCACUCAUACAGUGCUUAAAGGGAGCAUACGUCCAAGAAGUGUUCUAGGCGAACUCUAUUGUUUAGAACAGAGCGACGACCAUGAGGUGAUUAACAUCGCCUACGCCACAUUUAUUGUUGAAGACUUCUACAAGUUUUUGACAUGCUUUGGGUCAAUACCUGUGGCCCUAAAAAUAACUUAUAUAAAUGAGUUCGAGGACACUUAACAACUCUACAAAAUACAAUACAACCUUCAACACAGUUGAACCUCCAAACGCUCCCCGCAACUUUUCUUUCGUUUCCCUGUACGCUCCCCGAAGCUUUCUCUUUUUUUCUUUCAUUUCCUUCCCAGUUGAAGCUCUGCUCGAUCUUACGUCGAGUAUCGAUAUUGUGACGCUCACGUCGAGUAUCGAUAUUGUGACGCUCAGGCGGACUACUGUAAGUCCUUGCCGAGUACGCAAGGCGAAUCUGAAGAACCCUGCGGUGGAGUUGGUGCUCUCUCCAUCCUCAGUCGCUUGAUUAGAAACAAAAGGCUAAGCGCACCCCGUUACUACGACUACUACAUUCUGCGUCCGUGCGGUGGCACGCCCGCAACGACUAAAAGAGACUUUGCAUACCCAGACUUACUGAUGUGGCCAAAACAGGAGGUGGCAUAGGCGAAGGUACACUAAGGCCAAAGGGUGCCAUGGCACCCCUUUGAUUUUAUUCUAUGCAUGUAUUCUCCUUGAUUGGCAUCCUUUUGAUUUUAUUCUCCUUGAUUACUUAGAUAGAAAUAGAAAUCACUAUUUGAUUAUAUGUAUUGGUUACUACCCUUUUUUUCCUUUCUUUUUCUCUAGAAUAGUAAACAAACGUCUGCCAUGAUUAAUAUAGUAUUUUACGGCUCUAUUAAUACAUUUUAAUUGGUUCAAGCUCUUUUUCUUUUUUUUAGAGAAAUAACAUAAUUUUAUUCAGAAUGAAAGAGACUACAAAACAUGGGAAUUAUCGGUGGAGGAAGAAUUUUCCCCACUCAUUUCCCUACUACCAGAAACAGUUACGGGUCUGUCGCUAUCAAUGACAUCCAUGAGCCAAUCGGGCCCAACCUCUAACCAAACUAACCACCCAUUUAAUCGGGCUACAUACUUAGCCACUACAUCAGCCGCACUAUUCGCAGUCCUAGAGACGUGAGAGAGCUUAGGACUACCAACAACAACCAACAGAGCUCUAACUCGAUCAACCAAUAUCCCCUCUUAAGCAAGACACUCACCAACAUCAUUUACCACUCUCACAGCCUCUAAACAAUCACAUUCAACCUUCUCUAGUAACCAAUUAUGCUCUACUACAUAUUCCAGCCCCUUACAGAUUGCCAACAACUCAGCAACACUUGGCCAAAAACGGCCUUGGACUCUUUCUCCUCCCGCUAGCACCAGAUCCCCCAAAUGGUUUCUCACAACAACUCCCACUCCAAUAUAAACUCCAUUAUUAAUAACAGAAGCAUCAGUAUUUAAGCUUAACAUACCAGGGCUAGGAGGUUGCCAUGCCAUACCAAUUAUAGACCCCCCCACUUCUCCUGUGUGAUUGCAUACUAUUCUGCACCGCCAACAAACUUUCCCACAUCAACACACACUGGUCAUAUAUAAUAGAUGGGGGUCGAGGCCGUUCUCCAUGUAUGACCCUAUUUCUCUCACUCCAAUUGCUCCAAAGCAUUAUAACAAGCAUUUUCAUCUCAUCCACAGUUAAAACUUUGAAAGCAUGAUUCAAAAACUCAGUAAAGUUAGUCGACAUACCCGAAACCAGCUUGGAAUAGAAACUCACCCUCUCUAACACCGCAACACAAAACAAACUAGACCAGGUUACGUGCAAGGGCGUAUCAUCAGUAGCUUGGCACCUCGGACAUAAUGGACUUUGAACAAUAUACCUCUGAUACAACGGCCACAUGCAUGAAAUAAAUCCCAUCGAACACCUCCACAAAAAAUGAUUCAUCUUCGGUGGGACUUUGAGUUUCCAAAGAUGUUUCCAAUACACUGAAGCUAUCGGUGUAGAGCGAUUGCUCUCUUUUUUUACCAGCCAAUAAGCACUCUUAAAUGAAAACUUCCCCUGCUUAUUUUGAUUCCAAAUCAAUUUAUCUCGACACAUUGAUCAUGCAAUAGGGAUACUAAGCACAGCCUCCACUUCCUGUGUUGUAGCUACUUGCUCCAGCCUAUGCAUAUCCCACAAACCAGACACUGAAAUCAGAUAAUUCACUCUCAUAUUCCAAUCACAGCCAUUCUUCCAUGCAAUUUUAAAGUCAGGUAUUCCAGGUACCCAAGGGUCUUAAAAAACUUGGAUGUCGGCCCCAUUGCUUACCCUCCACCGAAGACCUUUAGUUAGAAGUUGUUUACCCCACAUCACAGCCCUCCAUAUACUGGAAGGAUUCCUCCCAAUAACAGCCUCCAAAAAAGAACUAUUAGGGUAGUAUUUAGCCUUCAACAUCCGACCAACCAAAGACUCCUCAUCUUGAAUUAGCCUCCAACCAAUUUUUCCAACCAAAGCUUGAUUAAAACACUAUAACUCCCUAAAACCCAAUCCACCUUCUCCCUUCGGCACACAAAGUGCAUCCCACCUCCUCCAAUGUAUACCUUUUCCACUAGAAUUUCCCCAUCAGUAUCUUACUAGAUGCCUGUUAAUUUCCUUACAAAUCCCUACCGGUAGCUAGAAAACACUCAUAGUGUAAGUAGGUAUUGACUGAGCCACAACUUUGAUCAACACCUCCUUACCACCCUUGGAAAGCAGUUUACCUUCCCAACCUUGUAUUUUCUGCCACACCCGAUCAACCACACCCUUGAAGACCUUCUUUUUAUUUCUCCCAGUCACUAUAGGCAAUCCCAAAUAACGUUCAUGGCAUGGAACAAUUUUCAUAUCCAACGCUGUACUACAAGCUUCCUUCACUACCCUCGUCGUUUGUGGAUUGAAACUAACAGCAGAUUUUUCCACACUGAUUUUCUGCCCCGAUGCCCUCUCAUACACAGCAAAAAUCUCCUUUAACUUGAGACAAUCUUGAACUGAAGCAUCACAAAACAACAAGCUAUCAUCAGCAAAGAACAUGUGUGUUACCGAUGGUGCACCCCGGGCAAUUGAAACUCCAUGCAAUAAUUUUUCUCUCUCCGCUUUUUUCAACAAAGCAGAAAAGCCUUCUGCAACUAAAAGAAAGAGAUAUGGGGAAAUAGGAUCUCCCUGGCGGAUUCCUCUAGAUGGAACAAUUCUACCAAAAGGUCUGCCUUGGAUGAGCACAGAGUAGGAAACCGACUGCACACACUCCAUUAGUAGCCGGGUAAACCGCAACGGAAAACCCAUAGCAAGCAUCAUCGCUCUCAAAAACUCCCAUUCGACUCUAUCAUAAGCCUUGGCCAUGUCUAAUUUGAUCGCUGUUUUCUGCCUACUUUUCUUCCCCCUUCUCUUUAAAUUAUACACUGUUUCAAACGCAGCAAUAACAUUGUCAUGAAUUAGUCGCCCUGGCACAAACGCGCUUUGGUAGUCCGCAAUCAAAUCCGGUAAGAUCACCUUCAAUCUGUUAGCCAAUGCCUUCGAAAUCAACUUAUAGAUGACAUUACACAAACUAAUAGGUCGAAACUCAGUCACCUUUUUUGGAGCCAGAAUUUUAGGAAUCAAAGCGAUUAAGGUGUGAUUCAGAUCCUUAACCGUGCCAUUCCCAUUGAGAAACUCCAAACACUUAUUAACCACCGCAUCCCCUACCACAGACCAAUACUUUUGAUAGAAAAGAGGCGGCAUACCGUUUGGCCCUAGAGAUUUUGUUGGUCCCAUAUCCUUUAACGCAGCUUCAAUUUCUCCUCUAGAAAAAGGUCUGUUAAGUGACACUCCUUGCUCCACCGUAACUCUACCAGCAACCUCCCCAAAAAUCCCAUGACUCAUAUCAGACCCUCCUGUAGAAAAAAGUUGUCUGAAAUAGUCCACGAAGACACAUCCAACAUUAACAUAACCAGUUCUCCAUCUGUUGUCCUCCCCCAAGACACCAGCAAUCUUAUUCAUAGCUCCCCUUUGCUUCGCAAAACUGUGGAAAAAUUUUGUGUUUCUAUCGCCACACUUUAACCAAUUCACCCGAGAGCGUUGACACCACAUAACUUCUUCCCGCUCAAGCACCUUGUCCAGCUCUCUUUCAGCAUCUUCUCUUUGUUGUAGCACCUCAGCUGAAGGAUACCUGCGUUGCAGCAUAUCUAGACCUUUCUAAGAUCUCUAAUUUUCCUCCGGACAUGACCAAACUUCUCUCGCUCCCACUCCUUUAACCUCGCUGCAACCAGCUUCAUUCGAUCCUCAAUCCCAAGAGGCCACCCCCGUUCCCAGCACUCCCCAAUAAUCUGCCCACAUUCCUCUUCCCGAAUCCACAUCUCCUCAAACAUAAACCUCCGGGGCAUACUUCUCAAAUCACUAUUGGUUCAAGCUCUUAUAAUGUAAAUAAUUAAGAAUAAGAUUGUAUAAUAAGGAUGAUUUUCACAUUGAUUCUACAUAUGUACAUUAGUUGUUAAGAAAUAAAUAAAUCAUUGAUAAGAUAUAUACCGGUACUAGUUACCAUGAUAUUAAUUUUAGAUUGUUGUAAAACAAAAGGAAUAGAUUGAGAAAGGAGAGAACAACCAAGAGAAUGAGAGAAUAUGUGUAUAUUAUUGAGUGGGGAACCAUCUCUUAUAUAGAGAUGAGGUCAUGAUGUAAAUUACAAUAACAACCCUAGUUGGCUAAUUACAAGAAUGUUCACUAAAUAAUAACUAUUUACAACACUCCCCUUUGGGUAUUCUCUGUCAUUAGCUUCCCCUAAUAUGUGCUUCGGUGUUGCCUCGUCAAAACCUUGCCAGGUAAUAAAAACCCUAUGGGACAAAAACAAUCCUGGUCGAAGGAGAAAAGAGUACAACGCACAAGUAGCAGUGAUAGUUAUAACCCUUGAUUUCGGUGAAGCGGUUUAGUCUUGAUCAUAAGAUGUGAGUCUAUGGGAGAUAGAUGCAUAAUAGUUGCUACACCAAAACCUUGCCCGGUAAACCCAGUGGGACAAACCCGUGGUCGAAGGGAAAAGAUGAGCAAAUGCAUAUAUUUCAAAUAAAGGCAUCUUCAAUAUGCACCAUGAGGAAGGUGACCAAUUACAUGUGUGCCUCAUUAAAACCUUGCCAGGUAACAAAACCCAGUGGGACAAAAUAACCCUGGACGAAUGACAAAAAGAGUACACAAUGGUCAAGAGUAUACUUCAGGAUACUCCCCCUAAUAUUGACUCCCCCUGAAAACUACACACUAGGUAAAACUACUACAUUGAUACAUUGAUCAUGCUUCUUGAAUAACUUAAUAGUUAGCAUGAUUUAAAGAGGUUUUUGUUUCAUAUACCUCUAAGAUUAUUGUAUUCCUUAUAGUAAAGACAUAAUCAGUUGGGAAUAAGCCUUGUGUUGGUUUACAUAACCCGUGUCAACAUAUUUAACAAGACAAACAUCAUUCCAAGGAUCAUAGGCGGUUGAUUCAUUCCAUGAUGCCUAGGGAUAAAAUGAGUCAUUUUCCAUCAUACAUUUAAAGUAACGGAAAAUUGUCUUUUAUGCCAUUUACGGAGGCGGCAUGUUGGUGCAGAGCUAUAUCUAGCUAACAAAUUCACAUCAGAUGAGAUGUCCGGUCAAGGCCAUUUAACCAGGUACAAUAAUGCGCCUAUUGUACUUAGAUAUGAGUCUUCUGGCCUUAAUAUCUCUUUAUUAUUAUCUGCAUGAUAAUACCGGUGUCUUUAGACCUUGGACGACUAUAGGUGUGCUUAAAUACUUUGUUUUAUCCUCAUCAAAAUAUCUUAAUAACAUCUUCUAGAUUUAAUUUGAUUGAUGGACCAAAAUUCCAUCUGCACUUUGCACGACUUCAGGUCGACAAAAUAAUAUUUGGUCUCCUAAAGUCAUUCAUCUCAAACUCUGAUUUCAGGUGUUUUGCAGUUUCCUUAAUCUCUUCAAGAGUAUCAGUCAAAUUCAUGUCAUUGACAUAAAUUACCACAAAUUACAAACCCGGAAUUUGUUUCCUUAAAACACGCAUGGGCAUAGUCCAUUUAUUCAUAUAUCCCACCCCAAACAAAUAUUCACUUAGACGGUUAUACCAACUCCGUCUGGAUUGUUUGAACCACUAAAGUGAACUACUCUAGCAAAUGGAGAGCAUGUUCUGUGGUCUAGAACUAUUUGCAUUGGGUAACAGAAGUCCUUCAGGAAACUUCAUGUAUAUCUCUAUAUUCAGAUCCCCAUAGAGAUAAGUUGUUACCACAUUCAUAGGCUGCUUAUUCAGUUAUUUGGAAACUACCAAACUGAUAAGGUAGUGGAACGUUAUGACGUCCAUUACGGGAAAGUACGUCUCCUUGUAAUCAAUCGCAGGGCGUUGAGAAAAUCUGUGCGUCACUAAACGAGACUUAUAUCACAAUCUCAUUUUUUCCAGUACGCUUCCUUACAAAUACCCAUAUAAACAAUAUAUGUUUAACAUGGGUAGGUGUGGGAACAACAGGCCCACAACACCUUUCUCUUAGUUAAGGAAUUUGAUUUGACCUGGAUUGUUUCUUUCCUUUUUAGCCAAUCAUCUCUUCGUUGAGAUCUAUCAACGAAGCAAGGUUUGACAUCAUCGCUUAUUAUAAAUUCGGUGGCCACCGCAAAUACAAACAUAUCAUCGAUGAACUCUUAUUCCAAUUCAAUAUCUCACAAAAUUUACAGAGAUUUUCUAUUCUUGGGAGUGGGUUUAAAUGUUGGAGCGUCCCCCAACUUUGUCUCUUCUAGGACGAACCCAUAAUCCGGAUUUAUCUCGUGAGUUGAAUUGGUUUGAGAUUGCGAUGGCAAGAAGAUUCAUUUGUGCCAAGUUUACUUUCUUCUAGGAAUAAGAAUCGUUCGAACUUAAUGGUUUACCUCUCUUCUGGACAGGGACUAUGACUGGUUAGCCGCCAUGGCCGUACCGCAUCCAACUAGGACGAUACGUCCUACGGGGACAUUUAUCCUUGCAGGUUUGCAGCAGGUAUAUAUGAUCUCGUCACUUUAACUAGAUCUUGUGAAGUGUGUAACAUAUUAUGGGCUACACUAUUUAGAUCUAGAUUCUUUGCACUUCAACUAGUAGUAGAAUUCUUUGCACUUCAAUUUCACAUGUGUGGUUUGGGGAUCAAGAUGAGACAUUCUACACGUCGUUCAUCAGGAACGCUCACAUUCUUAUCUCCCCCUAACGGAGGGAAGACUGUCUCAUCAAAGUGACGACCGCAAAAAUCUAGCGGUAUAGAGAUCUCCUGUCAAGGGCUCUAAGGAGCACAUAAUGGAUAGGGUUCAUAAUCGACAUAUAUGCCCAUCCUUUGUUGAGGACCCGAUUUUGUACGUUGUGGCGGCACAAUUGGCACAGAGACUGCAAAAACAUCAGGUUCACACCCAGUCACCAACUGUAACACGAAGUAAGACGGGUAGCAGUGGGCCUCAACUGGACUAACAUGGCUCCAUGCAAGAUUGCAUAGCCCGACGCAAACAAUAGAAGCUUGGUGCGCAUUACCAAGGUUCUAUAUGCAAGACCAUCUUAGGUUUGAACAUAGGAAACUAUAUGUUUUACAAAACCCAAGGGAUAUGCAAUAAUCAUCGAAAACCUUCGAUGUAAACUCUCUGGCAUUAUCAAGUCUUAUAGACUUUAUGGGAUAAUCCGAGUGGUGUACCCUCUAUUUCAUAGGUGAGAGUUUAGCAAAGGCAUCAUUUUCUUGUGGACAAUAGUGUGACAUUUGAUCACUUAAUUUGUCGAUGCAUCAACCAAAACCAUUAAUAUUUAACGGGUUCGUAUGGUGGUUGGAUAGGUCCACAUAUUUUUCCUUGCAUUCUAUGCAUAAAGAGAUAAUGUAUAUUCUAGUCUUUGCAUGUGAUGGUCUAGUAUUCAACAUUCUUAACGAGCAGCUUGAUAUAAUGUGUCAUUAAAGACAAGACCCUUAUUCUGAGGGGGAUGCCCGUGUGAUAAUUGAGUUGAGGAUACGGUGCAUCAUAUGUUUUUCCUGGGUGCAUCAAACACCAAUACUAUAGCUAGUAUUUGCUCGAAUCAUUUAGCUUCUAGCUAAUAAAUUUGAAUAUAGUCAAUGUACGCUUUUGGCCGCACAUUCGAAGGUUAUGCAAAGAUAUUACACCAUUUUUCUGGUGGUUUCAAUGUUUUAAGCAUUGAUUCAAUGAACUUACCUUUCGAUAACGUUCUUCUGAAACGUAAAGGUAUUUUGACCUCGUCAGCCAGACGAGAAUGCUCAAUUCCUUAAUAUUGAUAACACAUAUCAAUUUUGAUCGAUUUAGAUUCUAAGGCAUCAAGCCUUUUCAUUUCAAUAUUCUAUAAUUAUGUUUUGCUUCAAGUAAGGAAUGUCUACCUCAAAUAGUUUCUUCUGGAGACUACCAAUUAACAUGAUAAAAGCUACCGAUUUUAUCAUGUCUGGUGAAUUUUGGAAUGAAACUUCAAGUUUCUUAAGGGGGUUAUUAUCGAAACUACAAGUUCGAUUUAUACAUGAACUACUGGUUCAUUUCUGAACUAACGGUUUAUUCUUGAACUACCGGUUCAUUAGGUACAUGUAUUUUCAAGUUAUAAUCAUGUCACAAUUGAUGAUAUUAAUUUCACGCUACUAAUUUAGCAUAGUGAAUAUGUCACGUAACUAUGUGUAAAUGCUUCUGGCAAUUAACUACACAUUAAAUAUGAUGACUAUAUUAACAAUAGCCAUUAUGAGAAAAUAUUUGGAGAGUCCUAUAGACAUACAUAAUGACUAGGUACGAAAAUCCAGUGUCAUUAGAUUAUUUUCCUUUUGUUUAAUUCUGCUGGACCAAAAGAAUUGACUGAAAUUAAAGUGAAAUAAAUAAACCUAGCCUCUACAUAUUUUACAAGCCUACGGGGCACAAUCUGAGAGGUAUGCUAGACUUUUAGGUCCCGUAGAGGGAGAGUAGGCCUACUGGGCUAAUAAUGGUCUACCAAGAAAUGCAAUGUUAUUAAUCAACCCUUUCGGUAACUCCAAUUGUAUACGACUUGGUAAGCCAUGAUGAGGUGAUGGAGCGAGGCUCACUUAAGUACACAUCCUCAAAAGUAUUUGCCUAGACAUCGCAUCCAACUGGGUGGGCCUAGUUUGAGAAGAGUUAUAAUCAUUGUCAUAGACUCAAGGCGACACAUGACGAGCUUAUGUUCUAGCCUUGGAGCUUAGGUCGAGCUUCUGGCUCAAUUUCAUAUAUAUAUAUAUAUAUAUAUAUAUAUAUAUAUAUNNNNNNNNNNNNNNNNNNNNNNNNNNNNNNNNNNNNNNNNNNNNNNNNNNNNNNNNNNNNNNNNCAAUAUGCAAUCAAAGUUAAUAAGCAUGAAAUCAUAAAAUCGAAACAUAAACAACAUAUGGUUCAUGCUUCAGGAUGGUUUUUCAUGUAAUCAAGGUUUUAAAAGAAACAUGAAUUAUAAUAGAGUUUAGAAAACUUUACUCGAUGCAAAGCGAAUCAAUGAGUGUUCAUCUUAUGUGUCAGAACCGAGAAUAUUGGUGGACUAAACUUCUAAUCAAAUCCGAGAGCUUGUUUGUGAUUGAAAUUUUGAACCAUGUUGAAUGAUUCUUCCAUCGAUUGAUCAACGGUCUCUCUUCCAUGCUGCAUAAAAACUACCUUAGCGUUAGAACUAUUCGUGCUGAUAACGUGUUAUAAAACAAAAGGAAUAGAUUGAGAAAGGAGAGAAACAACCAAGAGAAUGAGAGAAUAUGUGUAUAUUAUUGAGUAGGGAACCAUCUCUUAUAUAGAGAUGAGGUCAUGAUGUAAAUUAUAAUAACAACCCUAGUUGGCUAAUUACAAGAAUGCCCAUUAAAUAAUAACUAUUUACAACAUAGAUAUGAAAGAGUCCGUAAUGACAUGUUGAGUUGGUUUAAAAACUAUUAUAUAUGUACUUUGUUCAACUAAGAAAAUAGUAUGCUCUUAGAUAACAUUCGGUUUAAAAAAAACAACAACAACAACUUAGUGCGUUAGAUAUCAUAUUUUUUAUGGUUAUCAUUUCGUUCUAUUAUAUCAUGGCCCCCCUCGCUAUAAGUUUCUAGCUCCGCCAUUGGGAGAUGGUGGUAGUGGCAGUGGUAGAAGAACAAAAGUUACUGGUGUAAUAACCAGAAAGUUCAAUCAAAAAUUUGUCGUACGUAGUUGCUCAAUGUGGGAUAUGUCUGACAGGUUUGAUUCAUACACACACACACAAGAGAAAAUAACUGAACCCCUAUAUGUUCAGUUGAAGAAAGUGCAUUGCCUAUAGCUGAUUAAUUAGCAAGAAAAAACAAAUCAGAAUUAAGAAAUCAAGAUAUAGGGAAAAGGAAACACUCGAAAGCCAUAUGCGUAAUGAACUAAUGAUCAUUUGAGACACAAUUAUUAAUAUGUAGGUAAGGGAAGAAAACUACGAAAAAGUGUGUUGGCAGGCUCUGAUGAUCUUGCUACAUGCUGCAUCUCCUAUUACCAUCUUAGCACCAGUGAAUGCAAUUAUGCAACAAAAUAGGAGGCACUCCUGCUGCCUUGAUUGAUCACUGUGAUCUGUACAUAAUCCUAUCUCUGUUCCCAAAUUGCUAGCUAGGCGUACUGCGUUGUUCCCAAAUCUGAGAUCAAUCCUGAUUGCAGUCUUCUCCUGUCAUUCUCAGCUCAAACUUUUAAGGAAAGUAACAAACAGAAGAAAGUGAGAUUAUUGCAGAUUAUCUGUUACGAAAUCAACAAGUGAAAGUCUAAGUCUUAGAUCAAACACAUCCUAAAAGUUCAGUUUUAACUAGGCAAAAUUCUUUCGCUGUUUUGACUACUUGGUUUCUUUAACAUACAUUCGGGGGAAUGAUUCCCCUAUUAAUGUAAUGGCCGAGAACGCAAUCACUACAGCUGGACUAAAACACAACCAGACUCUUUCAUGACUGCCAAGUUAUAAGCAUCCUUGAAACAAUCAUUUAUUAAUGCAGUAGAGUUAUUUGUGUAAAAACGAAUGCAAAAGCAGAAAUUUGUAGUCUCCCUCUGAUAAACUCAAUCUUUGUCUUAUUUCAGCUACUUAUGCAACUUAAUCACUUCCUUAUUAACAACUUGCAUGAUAUAAACCCCUGCCUAUUACUCAUAUCUCAGAAAACUUCAUAUUCAUUGCAAAAGAACAAAAAUUGAACUCGACAUAGGAUCAUGAACAUAAGUUACAUAACCGAUAUCACACAGGUUGAUCAUGACUCAAAAGAAACAAAGGAUGGAUAUCAUAUAGUCCAUUACCUCGGACUUGUGCACAUUAUCAUAUAAAUAGUACCCCAAGAAUCUAUGGCACUCUUCCUGAAAACAGCACAGCACAGAAGAUAAACAAAAUGUGUGAUAGGCCUUCAUAAUGGCAUUUGAGAUAGCAAUGGCUGUACAAACCCUUUCACAGACCCUGACAUGUCUUCAUCAUAUCCAUCUAUGAAUUUCCGAAAAACACACCAAAAAAAAACCAUACACAUACCAAUCAACAUGACCCUAAUCUAUUACAAGAUUUGUCAUCAAUUUCCGUUGCUUAAAAUUCCUGAGUGAUGGAUAAAGUGUAAUUGAGAGAGGUACAAAAGAUUCACAAAUGGAGUCGUCAUCUUGAAAGAUGAAGUGAAACACAGCUUCAGCGUCCUUCAUUAUUUUCAUUAGGUUUAAGGCACAUUCACAAAAAAUGUUUACUAAGAAACUUCCGAGCCAUUCAACUGAUGAAUCCAAAUUAGUGAACGUUUACUAAAAUACAACCAGACUCUUUCAUGAGUGCCAAAUUAUAAGCAUCCUUGAAAUAAUCAUUUAGUGCAGUAGUUACUUGUGUAAAACGAAUGCAAAAGCAGUAAAUUUUUAGUCUUCCUCUGAUGAACUCAAUCUUUGUCUUAUUUCAGCUACUUAUGCAACUUAAUCACUUCUGCCAUAAUCAUAAAUAGAUACCAUUGUAUAAGUUCCAGUUUCUGUUGUCGACAACCAAAGCCAGUGCUGUUCGUACCUGUCCACCAGUUAAAGUUGUGCCGACCAAAGGAGCUGACCAGCAAUUGGGGCUUCUCUUUGGAAAUUGAAGUGGCAGAUGUAGAAUUUGCUUGUGUAGGAUUUGCCAAACGUAACAAACGAUCAUCAGUACAUACUAAUACAAAAGAAAUUCCUUAUUCUUCACCUUUGUCUUAGACUACUGUGUUUUCAAAACAAACAGGCAUCCCCUUUCGUUAACCACCGAUUCACUGAAGGUCGACUAAACGUACAUCAAACUUAUCAAAAACUGAAAUGGAUGCUUGAAAAUUGAGAGGAACAAUUUUAGACAAUGAACAUAAAGCAAGUGAUUUUAAUGACAAUCAGAACCAAUAUUUCUAAUGUAAUUAAUACAGCAAAGUUCAUUUCAAAACAAACUUUUUCCUUUGUUUAAUUUGCUUAAAUCCUUUCCAGACUUAUAUCCAAGGAAAUAUAAACAUGAAAAAAAAACCAGAUGUUGUUAUUGUUGUAGUGACAGUAGAAUAAAUCUUAAACCAUGUAUUUUCAAUGGCAAGGUACUCAUCAACAUAGCAGUGCUGGUAUGAAUAAAACAUGCAAUGUGCUUUUCAACCUGAAAAGCAAUUGAAUCCCAUUCUCUCCCGCCCACAACUUCCUAUAUCACAAUUCCAGACAUAAUCCUCCCACGGCUAAAAGGGAUCACACUACCAUCUAGCAAACACACUGCAACGAUCACACUACACAUUCUCCCGCAUAAUCUCAACCCCAAAAUCUUCAAAUCCCAAAGUCGCAAACCCGCUCCUCACAGUCAUGCCCACCACCUGUUCGACGUAUUGACCAUGCAUUUCCACCUCCUCAAAACCCUCACCCGCCGCUAUUCCCGCGACCCAUUUCCCAACAAGCUCUCCCACUACCUCCACCGCGCCACCCUCAUCGACUCCAUCCGUCUCAAGCUCCGCACCAACACCCCAAACUCCCUCACUCCUUUAGCAAACGACACCCGCCUCCUCGACUCCUUCGUAGUCACGCAAGCCCUCCGCUCCGCUCCAUCAGCCGACUCUGCCCUCUUGCUCAAUGAAGCCCUCAAGCGAAUCCUGGUUUCGUGCACACCCAGAACACGGUUCAUGCUUUGGCCACGGUUCUGGCCAAGUCUGGCCGUGCCGGGGAGCUUAACUAUCUUAUUAAAGCUGUCAAUGCCGAGAGGUUUGGCAACGUUAGACUGAGUUUCAUGAACAUUAUGAGCUGGCAAGCUGCUGUUGGGGACCUGGAGGCGGUUCUUCGGACGUGGGAGGAGUAUAGAAGUGCGGAGAAGCGUGUGUGUGCUGAAUCUUACAAUGUUGUCAUGAGGGUUUAUGCGGAGCUGGGGAAGGAUUGUAAGGCGGUGCGGGUUUUUUAUAGGAUGGUUGAGGAAGGGGCGCUUCCGAAUUGCAGGACUUAUACGGUUAUGAUUGAGCAUAUGGUGAAGUGUGGGAAGUUGGAGGCUGCGAUGGAGGUGUUCAAGGUGUUGCCUUUUAUGAGGGUGAAACGGAGUUUGAGGCAGUAUCAGGUUUUGGUGGAGGCGUGCGUUGGAGCGAAGCAGUUUGAGGGGGUUAAGGCUUUACUUGAGGAAAUGCGGGUUGAUGGGAUAUUGCUUGGCCGAGCUAUGCUUUUGUCGUUGGAACGAAUGCGAGAGGCGGGGUUUGUUGAGGAGAGUGAUGAGUUUUUGAGGGAAAUGUUGCCUAAUGAGGCAAUUAGUAGUAUAGGGUAUUGUGAUGAUUGUAGUGAUGAUGAUGAUGAUGAGGAGGAUGUUGAUGAUGAUCGUGCUGGGAAGGGUAAAGAGGGUAGUGGGGUUCAGUUAAAACCUUGGUUAGACCCGAGAUCACUGACAAAUGCAUUACAAAGUUGGAGCCCCAAUGAGGUAUCAGCAUUAGAGGAGGCAAAUUUUCUGUGGACUACGCGGUUAGUAUGCAAGAUUCUUAGGAAUUUUAAAUCAGCUGAAAGAGCUUGGAAGGUUUUCUGUUGGGUUGCUUGUCAGCCAGGUUUUACCCAUGAUAUAUACACAGUUCAAAGGAUGAUGACUCUUUUAGCGCGCCAUAGACAUGCUGCAUUGGUUGAUAAACUUUUGUCCAAAGUAAGGAUGGAGCAAAUGAGAUUGCCGUUUUCAACAAUCAGGCUGAUCAUUGACUUCUAUGGUCUCUCGAAGAAUGCUGACGCUGCUCUGAAGGUCUUUCACAAUGAUAGAAACCUGUGUGGCCCUAUAUCAGGUUUCAAUCUGAUGCUUUUGUAUUCAUCUCUUUUACGAACAUUGACCAAAUGCAGGAGGGAUUCAGAUGUAAUGGAUGUACUUGAAGAGAUGAUCUUGAGUGGGAUUUGUCCCAAUAUCCAGACAUUUUCUGGGUUGAUGCAUCAUUUUGCACUGAAUGAUGACAUCAAAAUUGUGCAGAAACUAUUUGCAAUGGUUAGGCAGAGUGGUGACCAGCCAGAUGCUUAUAUGUUUAAAGUGCUAAUUCAAGCAUAUUGCAAGUGUGAGAGAGCUGCACUUGCGUAUAGAGCUUUUGAAGACUUGAGGAAUUUGAAUUUGCUGCCGGACGCUGCCACAAAAGAGUUGCUUGUGAAGAGUCUUUGGAAGGAAGGCAAGUGGAGAGAGGCUGCCGCUGUAAAAGAGAGUUGCAAAGAAACAAAUGAUGUUCUUCCACUCACUUUGCGUGGUCACAUAUGGACGGUGAGCUCUACUGAUCUCUCAAAGGUUUUUUCUAUUUACUCCAGUAGCUCAGCUGGUGAAUAGAAUUUUAGAUUAAUAUUAAAAUGGAGCAAUGUCUAGAAGUUAGAGCAGUAGUUUUGGAAGAUGUUUGAUCUUGGAUUUUCUGUAAUGUACUGGCAUUUCCCCCUUCAUGGUGGACUAAACUGAAACCAAGUCUAAUUUCUUUUUCUGGAUUAAUCGAGUUUCAUGUGUUUCCAUAACUUUUGAUAGAGAGGGCUCGCCUGGUUAUAUGUUACUAUUCCCUAUCAUAUAGUCACUCUGGUAGUUUAUUUUCUUUUUAAUUGCCUGAAUAUUUGCUUGUAUUUAAUGCUUCUAUGGAAUUAUAGCUACUGCAGUUAUCUAUUAUGGUUGGCCUCUACUAUAGUUCUGUGGAUAUUAUUAUUCAAGGAGUGUCCUGAUUUCGCUUUUGUUUGUAAUAUCCAUUUGUAUGUUUUGUUUGGUUACACAAAAGUAUCAGUUUUGUCAGAUUGGCCUUUUCCAAAAGGCACCUAUUGCCUAUGGGCGUUUUCCUGGCCUAAAACCUUUCUGAGGUCCUAUUUGUCUCAUGUCAUGAUCUGAUUCAAUGCUUAAAAGGAAAUUAAUUCGAGUCACCGUGUCUUAAAGCUAGAUUGCCUACAUUUUUUGCAUGUCUGUGGUACAUAGGUUGAGUUUGUUCAUUAUACUUCAUAGCCUGAGCUUGUGUUAUUUAGGGGGGUAAAAGGCCUUUAUAAGUUUAUAUAUCUUUUGUCUCGUAUCAUAUCUGAUGCCAUGGUAAAAUGGAAAUGGAUUCGAGUCCUCGUGUUUAGUUUUUGAUAAGAAUGAAUUCCCUGAUCAUUUGCUUCUGUCUGUUACAUUGGUGCUUGAACUAACCAGGCUGUAUACCAGUAGUUGUCUCCACCUAUUAAUUAGCUUAAACUAUUAGGUUGAGAUACUCAAUAUCCUCUUAAAGGCACCAAGUAUAGGUUACCUAAGCUGAGACAACAAAAAGGGGAUCACUUAUCCACUUAUAUACCCAUUAAAACAGUAGAAGCAUCUCAGAAAUUAUACGCAUGUAACUUGCAUAUUCCACUGAGGUAAAAAUGUGUUUCCUUUUGAGUUGCCUGGUUAUGUGUUUUCUUCGAAAAUGGUAACACCGCCCCUGUUUAUCUCAUGUAAAUCCCUCUUGCAGCCGUUUAGCAUCUGAUAAGCCUAAAAUAGACUUAUAAAUAACCCUGCAAUCACAAUCAAGUUAUCGAUGGUAGUAUAGAAAAGUAGGGUGUCUCCCGCAGAGGAUUGUGACUCAACAAUUGCAAAUAUAACUCUGAAAAACUGAACAGACACUAGACAAAGACGAAAACAAAAACUAUAGCUAGACCCAACAAAAAAUUACGAAAUUAAAUCUGGAGAAACUAGACACACUGACGAAGACACACACAAAAUUUGGGGGGAAACUGUGUAGUUUUGCUAUGCUAACAAAAUUCAGAAAUAUGACAGACAAACUGAUCAAAAACAAAAAACUAAAUUUGGGGAUUUUGGUUUUGGAAAUCAAAUAACAAAAACUAGUUAGGAACCACUCCUCACCACUAGACAAUGAUUGCACCUAUGAUGUGUUUACUAACAUGUUCAAUUCAUUCGGAUAUCCUUACUCAAGCUAAGCCAAUGAUGNNNNNNNNNNNNNNNNNNNNCUUGGAAGCAGCCCCUAACUAAGGGAAAAUUAGUUACUCAUCAUCUUUGAAAACACAUAAGAGAAUUUCAUAAGAUUCGGGAAGAAAAGAAAAUACGAAAGAUGAAAAGCAGGGGAAAAGAUUGAUUUUCUGAGUCGAGAGAUCAAUCUCUUAUGGGCUCUGAACUUUACUUCUUCUCUUUGAGUUCUUGACGGCUCCCUCUUCUCUUCUGUGUUUCUUCUCCUCUAGUAUGACAGCUUAGCCUCGUUCUGGUAUUAGGGUUCUGCCUUAAGUAGUCUCCAAGUCUUCAAAGCUUCUUUUUUAGACUAUGUUUCCUUCUUUGACUAGGAUCAAUGUUUGGGCUAUCUUUUAAAUGUCUUCCACAUAUAAUCUGGGCUUGGCUUUUGGGAAAAUUAUAUUAAUGAUAUCACUCUUUGAAAUCGUGUAAAAACCCCCAAGAAAGCUUCUCAAAAUCCAGCCCAAACACUGCCUCGAACUUGACUGCUGCACAGCUUUCCCGGAACUGCUGAUUUUCUGUCCAACUUCGACGCUUCAUAACUCCUAGAUGCCAUCACCUAUUUGGAUGAUUCUUGACUCUAAAUUGAUCUACAAACGCACCUCUACAAAUCUGGGUGGCCAUCUUGGUGAAACCAUUCUCGGAACCUCAUGGAAAUAGGCCUUGAAAACCGGAGAAAAUAAGCAGAAACCAGUUUUCAGCUUUUUGUGUUUGUAGCUUCUGUUUUGGUGAAGUGGUUCCAUCGCCUUUCCUUGAUAUUUUUGACCAUGUGAAUGAUCAAACUCCAUCCUUGACAUCUCUACUUCGUAUUGGAAGCCUUGCUUGCAUCACUUGAACACAUAUUUGCAUUAUCUUGCUCCAUGAAGUACCUAAGAAAAUAACAAAGUUAAAACGAUCUUUUUAAAGAAAAAUAGCUAAGUUAAAUGCAAAGGUUAAACUAUAAAAUCAUCGCAUUUUAUGCUCUUAUCAGCAUCUAAUGUGUGGUUAUUUUG